CCAGACUAAAACAAAAAGGUUAAAAUAUAAAUGAAUAUUAUAAACAAUAUUAUAAACAACUGAACUAUUGCCAUAUGUUUUAACUUAAUGCUUUUAUUUAUGUUAUUCGACACUACAGUUGUUAUAACUUAGUCAAAUCUUUUGUUUCACAUAUUCCCAUCCCUGAUUCAAAUUAACCGGAAGUUGUGCAGUGCAGUUGAACAUGGCGGAAGGAAGUAGAGAGUUCAUGCGAGGCGCCAUUUAGAGCUAGACGUUGUAGCUCCAUGUAACAACAUUCAGCUUCACAGAAGGUCAGGUCUUUUAAUGAAUAAGAAGAUCCAACGACUCCAGUAGAUGACGAGCCUCCCGGCUUGAUCCUCAGGAACCCCUCCGGCUAUUCAUCGCCACUGAAACAGCUGGAUGAGCUAUCUGCCUUUAGAUGUUGACAGAGUGAGGCUGCACAUCAAAAUUGCCCUGCAGGAGGAAACGCACAAUCUCCUGGUGACCAAAGCGGGCGCAGAAGUGGAGAGGAACGUGAUCUUCGUUGUCCUGGGCAUUUACUGGAAAGAAGAACAGAAAAGUGAAGCCAGGUGGAGUGCAGUGAAUCCGUUCCUGGACAGUCUGGAAGGACGCAGGCCUUUGAGCAUCAGGGUGCGGAUAUGGGUCUUGUUACCUGGUCACCAAUACGUAAAUAUUUCACUCAACAAAACUGCAUGUUUAUUGUGAAUGACACUAAAGAUCACAUUUAUUUCUCCACUUUAACUGUUUAUAUUUCAUCUUUAUGUACAGUUAAGUUCCAAUCUACAGUGACCAACACCAGAGAGGUCAUCUUCAGACAAUAAUGUCAGUCAGUUCAUAGUAAUCCUUCCUCCCACUGCCACAUUUUGUGGAGGAGUUAUUAAUACACUCACACAUACCUCCACAUACGCAGCAGAGAUGCAGCAGCGACAGCCCCUUCUCUGUUCGGUAGCUCACGUUCACCUUCUGAAACGCUU